GAGAGUAUAGCUCAGUGGUAGAGCACAUGCUUAGCAUGCACAAGGUUCUGAGUUCAACCCCCAGUACCUUCA
rnacentral:tRNA from 1 species